AAGGACUUAUUCAAGAAGUUCAAAAUGCAAGAAUGCAAAGGUAUGAAUACACCCAUGCCUACUAGUGGACAUCUUGAUUUGACCAAAGAUGGUGAACCGGUUGAUCAAAAGGUUUAUCGCUCUAUGAUUGGUUCAUUGUUAUAUCUAUGUGCCUCUCGUCCCGAUAUUAUGCUAAGUGUGUGCAUGUGUGCACGAUAUCAAGCUGCUCCUAAAGAGUGUCAUCUUAAGGCUGUGAAAAGGAUAGUGAGAUACCUAAUCCAUACACCAAAAUUUGGCAUUUGGUAUCCUAAGAGGUCCUCUUUUGAUCUUGUUGGCUACUUCGAUUCGGACUAUGCCGUAGACAAGGUUGAUAGCAAAUCCACUUCA
rnacentral:rRNA from 1 species